rnacentral:rRNA from 1 species
ACGUAGGGUGCGAGCGUUAAUCGGAAUUACUAGGCGUAAAGCGUGCGCAGGCGGCUCUAUAAGACAGAUGUGAAAUCCCCGGGCUUAACCUGGGAACUGCGUUUGUGACUGUAGGGCUUGAGUGCGGCAGAGGGGGGUGGAAUUCCACGUGUAGCAGUGAAAUGCGUAGAGAUGUGGAGGAACACCGAUGGCGAAGGCAGCCCCCUGGGUCGACACUGACGCUGAGACGCGACAGCACGGGGAGCGAACGG